AGUUUAGUCUCGCGCAUGAGCGCGACACUCGUUCUCUUUCCUUUCUAAUGACAACAGACUUGUCCGGUUGGAAUAUUAUUUAAGACUCAUGAUAAAAACAUCCUAAAGAUUGAUCAUAUACAUUGUUUGACAUGUUUCUACUAACUUUAAAUGGAACUUUUUUGACUCGGUCUGGACUUUGUGCUCGCGCUUUGUGCAUUUGGAUAACUAGACUAAACGCGCAAACAAAAAGGUGGUAUUUGGACAUAAAGAUGAACUUUGUCGAACAAAACAAACAUUUAUUGUCUAACAUGGAGACCUGGGAGUGCCAUCAGAUGAAGAUCAACGCAGGGAAGAUCAGACUCACCUGAACCCAGCUGUGUGUCCAUGAAGAGUGACCAGUCUAUGAUACUGUCUAUAGAAUUCAGACAGAAAGCCUCCCCUACAAAACAAGGAUCAGACUCACCUGUACACAGCUGUGUGUCCAUGAAGAGUGACCAGUCUAUGAAGCUGCCUAUAGAAUUCAGACAGGCAGUCCUCCAGACAAAACAAGGAUGCUCGAAGACCACAUGAUCUAUUUUGUGAAGAAAGAGCUGAAGAGGUUAAAAAUGUUUCUGAGUCCUGAUCUUCCAGAAGGCUUUGAGAGUCAGAGGGAGGAUGCAGAAAUGGUGGGACGCUGAAGAUGAGAAGCAGGAGAGCAUUUGCCAGAGAGGGGGCUCAGCAGAUCACACUGCAUUUCCUGAGGAACAUGAACCAGAAGGAGCCGGCUGACAUAAUGGAGAAAGAUGUGCUUGCUGUGUUCCAACCUAAAUUCAAAUCCAACCUGGAAAGAAAGUUUCAGUGUAUGUUCAAGCGAAUAGCUGAGCAAAAAUAAAUAAACACAUUGCUCAUCAGGAUCUACACAAUGCUCUACAUCACAGAAGGUAGAAGCGGAGAGGUCAAUAAUGAACAUGAGAUUGCUCCUGUGAUGAUCCAUGGCACGAAGCCUCCAGUGAUGAUCCAU